CCGUAGCCGGUUGCAUAAGUUUUCGGUUAAAUCUAUGCGCUUAACGUAUAGGCCGCCGAAAAUACUGUGCAGCUAGGGAGUGGGAGAGGUACACGGUACUCGAUAGGAAGGGGUAAAAUCCUUUGAUCUAUUGAUGACCACCUGUGGCGAAGGCGGUGUACCAGAACACGUUCGACGGUGAGGGAUGAAAGCUGGGGGAGCAAACCGGAUUAGAUACCCGGGUAGUCCCAGCUGUAAACGAUGCAGACUCGGUGAUGCAUUGGCUUGUGGCCAAUGCAGUGCCGCAGGGAAGCCGUUAAGUCUGCCGCCUGGGAAGUACGUACGCAAGUAUGAAACUUAAAGGAAUUGGCGGGGGAGCACCACAAGGGGUGAAGCCUGCGGUUCAAUUGGAGUCAACGCCAGAAAUCUUACCUGGGGAGA
rnacentral:rRNA from 1 species